AACGAACGCUGGCGGCGUGCCUAACACAUGCAAGUCGAACGGGGUGAGGGGCUUGCUCCUCAUCUAGUGGCGCACGGGUGAGUAACGCGUGGAUAAUCUGCCUGAUACUCUGGGAUAACAUCUCGAAAGGGGUGCUAAUACCGGAUAAGCCCACGGGCUCUUCGGAGCUUGCGGGAAAAGGAGGGGACCUUCGGGCCUUCCGAUAUCAGAUGAGUCCGCGUCCCAUUAGCUAGUUGGUAGGGUAAAGGCCUACCAAGGCGACGAUGGGUAGCUGGUCUGAGAGGAUGAUCAGCCACACUGGAACUGAGACACGGUCCAGACUCCUACGGGAGGCAGCAGUGGGGAAUUUUGCGCAAUGGGGGAAACCCUGACGCAGCAACGCCGCGUGAGUGAUGAAGGCCCUUGGGUCGUAAAGCUCUGUCAGAGGGAAAGAAAUGUGGGCGGCUAAUAUCCGUACCACUUGACGGUACCCUCAAAGGAAGCACCGGCUAACUCCGUGCCAGCAGCCGCAGUAACAC
rnacentral:rRNA from 1 species